CUCUCUAGCCUUUGUGCAGCCGCCCCCCUCUCUCAUCUCCUCCUCCCUCAAACUCUUGCAGCCACCAUCCCACAAACCCUAGCCGCCCCCAUCUCCUCUUCUCCUAGGUGCAGCCCUCCCGCUUGAUCUACGUCGCGUGGGUGCAAAUCUCCAAUUGGAAUUUGGUGGAAGGAAGAAGGAGGGAGGAAAGGGGGAGAAUUCAAGUUAUGAAAUUUUCAAGCAACGCCGCUGCAGUUAGGUGGUGAUGGGGAGAGUUGUCGCUCGCGAUGGGUUGGAAUUGUGCGCAGGUGGUGGACUUCCAGAUCGUACUUAGUACCAUUCCAAAUUCCUAGUGAAGGCAAGUAAAUACAGUGGUGGUUGCUACCAUUUGGUUUGCAUCCUAUGCCUUGUCAAUGAGUAUGUAUAAGUAUUAAAUGUGUUAAUCAUUGAAUUCUAUGAUGAAGUUUAUUUGUUCGAAAGUAUUAAUUCUC